CUUCAAACGGAAUUCAGAAAUCCUUUUCCGGAAAAUAGCGUGUUUGGUAGGUCCGGAAAAUUAGGUCAAACUGAAAAUAUUUUCAGUUUGACCGUAAAAUAAGGCUUCUGGGGCGGAAAAUCAUUUCAGUCCUCAUUUUCACUUCAAACAUUUUCCAUUCUGCUCUCUCACACGCACUCGACACACACAGAGCUCUCCAAGCUUCGAUCCACACACCGAGCGAAGAAGCUCCAAGCUCCGAGCUCCAAGCCCCGAUCCACACACCGAGCUCCACCAUCUCCCUCACGCCAAACGCUCAAGCCCAUCUCCCUCACGCAGCUGAUCCUCUCCACGCACGUGAAUAUUGCAGAUCCAGAGCACACUUGGGAAAUCAAAUAUUACACCAUCUGUGAUGCCAUCUGAGUACUUGACAUCAUGGGUAUCUACAUUUGGGAAAAUCAAGUUCCAACUUUUUUGAUUUAGGAGAACAUUGGAUUACUCAUUGAGUUUGGAGAGACUAUGGUGCCAAGAUGGAUGCCAUUGCGUACAUUGUGAAUGCUGAUAUCAUGGACAAGGAGCAAUUUUUGGGGCCAAGAGAAGAGCUGCAUGCUCUACUGUCUGAUGAGGCCUUUCCAAAUGUUCCAUUCCUUAUUUUUGUCGUAACAUCUAAUGGAGCUUUUUCUCUCCCAAAAGAGAGAUUGUGUUUCUUCCUCGGCCUGCUUGAUGUCACCAUAGGGACGCGUAAGGUAGAGCCAGCUGAUGAAAAUGGCUGUCCCCUUGAGGUUUUUGUGGCUGAAGCAACAGAGUAUUUAGAUGGUGUCAAGUGGCUUUCUCAGUACAUUAAGUAGCAGUAGAGUUGAUUACACUGGAAGAUCCGACACAUGAAUUCUUUUCCCAAUCUAAUCUAUCAAGGAUUCAUAACCGACCCAAAUUGUGAGACUUAGGCUUUGUUGUUGUUGUUGUAUGAUUUCCUUAACUCACCAUUCAAUAUUUGAAUUAUCUUUUUAUAAUUGGUAACACGUCAAUUUAUUAGCUUAAUGUAAUAAAACUUGUAAUACUUAUAACAGUACUUGGCUACCUAUACAACCUACGAUCAACUUGUUUGACAAUUAAUCAUGCCCAAUUUAGGGA